rnacentral:rRNA from 1 species
CGGAUAGCAAUCUUAGUGGCGGACGGGUGAGUAACGCGUGAGAAUCUACCUUCAGACGGAGACACAGUUGGAAACGACUGCUAACCCCCGAUGUACCGCAAGGGCAAUAUUUAUACCUGAAGAAGAGCUCGCGUCCGAUUAGCUAGUUGGAGAGGUAAAGCUCACCAGGCGACGAUCGGUAGCUGGUCUGAGAGGACGAUCAGCCACAUGGGACUGAGAACGGCCCAGACUCCUACGGGAGGCAGCAGUGGGGAAUUUCCGCAAUGGGCGAAGCCUGACGGAGCAAGACCGCGUGGGGGAAGAAGGCUUUGGGUUGUAAACCCUUUUCUCUGGGAAGAACGCAAUGACGGUACCAGAGGAUCAGCAUCGGCUAAUCCGUGCCAGCAGCCGCGGUAAGACGGAGGAUGCAGCGUUAUCCGGAAUGAUGGGCGUAAAGCGUCCGCAGGUGGCAGUUCAAGUCGCUGUCAAAGACCGGGGUCAACCUCGGAAAGGCAGUGGAAACUGAACAGCAGAGUAUGGUAGGGGCAAGGGAAUUCCUGGUGUAGCGGUGAAAUGCGUAGGAUCAGGAAGAACAUCGGUGCGAAGGCGCUUUGCUGG